UAGCUCAUGAAUAGAGUAUUUGCCUAGCAAGCAGAAGGCCCUGGGUUCAAUCCCCAG
rnacentral:tRNA from 1 species